rnacentral:rRNA from 1 species
UACAGAGGUCUCAAGCGUUGUUCGGAUUCAUUGGGCGUAAAGGGUGCGUAGGUGGUGAUGCAAGUCUGGUGUGAAAUCUCGGAGCUCAACUCCGAAAUUGCACCGGAUACUGCGUGACUCGAGGACUGUAGAGGAGAUCGGAAUUCACGGUGUAGCAGUGAAAUGCGUAGAUAUCGUGAGGAAGACCAGUGGCGAAGGCGGGUCUCUGGACAGUUCCUGACGCUGAGGCACGAAGGUCAGGGGAGCAAACGGG